CGGGGGUGGAGUAAUGUAUGGGGAUCUGCCUGAUGGGGGGGGAGUAACUACUGGAAACGGUAGCUAUACCGCAUAAUGUCUACGGACCAAAGCGGGGGACCUCCGGGCCUCGCGCCAUCAGAUGAACCCAUAUGGGAUUAGCUAGUAGGUAAGGUAACGGCUUACCUAGGCGACGAUCCCUAGCUGGUCUGAGAGGAUGAUCAGCCACACUGGGACUGAGACACGGCCCAG
rnacentral:rRNA from 1 species